CUGGCAGGGUUUGGGGAUAUAAAGAAUACUGGAUGUAGGUACAUACAUCUGGAUGGUGUACCAGUGUUUAAAAGAGUAAUGGGCAGGCAGUUACAGGGUAGGUGGAAGGGUUGGGAGAGUGAGCUGCGGAUGGUGAAAGGUGAGGUACCAGUACAGUGGAAGGGAUACAGGAGGAUGGAAAGGGGUAGAUGGGAUGCAGAUGGAAUGUGGACUGGAGGGGAAUGGGCAGAAAAUGUACAGAGUACUGGACAGAUGGGAUACAGAGUAAGGGGAUCUGUGUGUAGGCACCACAAGUGCAAAUAGACGGGAUGGUGGGAUACAGAGGGUGGGAAUCUGGGAGAAAGAUUCACAGGUGCGACCAGUGGUCCUUCUGAAACAGUGACUGGCUAGCUGCUUUUACCUUAACCAUACUCCAAGGUAC